rnacentral:rRNA from 1 species
GCCGAACGCUGGCGGCGUGCUUAACACAUGCAAGUCGAACGGAAAGGCCCUGCUUGCAGGGUACUCGAGUGGCGAACGGGUGAGUAACACGUGGGUGAUCUGCCCUGCACUUCGGGAUAAGCCUGGGAAACUGGGUCUAAUACCGGAUAGGAGCCAUUUUUAGUGUGAUGGUUGGAAAGUUUUUUCGGUGUAGGAUGAGCUCGCGGCCUAUCAGCUUGUUGGUGGGGUAAUGGCCUACCAAGGCGGCGACGGGUAGCCGGCCUGAGAGGGUGGACGGCCACAUUGGGACUGAGAUACGGCCCAGACUCCUACGGGAGGCAGCAGUGGGGAAUAUUGCACAAUGGGCGCAAGCCUGAUGCAGCGACGCCGCGUGGGGGAUGACGGCCUUCGGGUUGUAAACUCCUUUCGCUAGGGACGAAGCUUUUUGUGACGGUACCUAGAUAAGAAGCACCGGCUAACUACGUG